rnacentral:rRNA from 1 species
UUAAUAGCUAUAUUCAUUUGACGUUUAGCUGCAGAAGAAGCACCGGCUAACUCCGUGCCAGCAGCCGCGGUAAUACGGAGGGUGCGAGCGUUAAUCGGAAUUACUGGGCGUAAAGCGCAUGCAGGUGGUUUGUUAAGUCAGAUGUGAAAGCCCGGGGCUCAACCUCGGAAUUGCAUUUGAAACUGGCAAACUAGAGUACUGUAGAGGGGGUAGAAUUUCAGGUGUAGCGGUGAAAUGCGUAGAGAUCUGAAGGAAUACCGGUGGCGAAGGCGGCCCCCUGGACAGAUACUGACACUCAGAUGCGAAAGCGUGGGGAGCAAACAGGAUUAGAUACCCUGGUAG